AAAGACUAGGGCUUGGAACUCUGACGUUUUCACUCAAGUGAAUCAUAAGAAUCAUUGCGAAUAGCGCUCAGGAUUGCCAAAACAAAGCAUUUGCAAAAAUUAUGUGGGCGUGCGAAAUAUUAGUGUGAAGCGAGAAUACUUUAAAACGUGGACAAAGGCGAUCGUUUAUUGAAAUAACAUGUUUAAAUUAUUACAUUAACUAUAGUAUAAACAAAUUCGGUUAGAAAUUCGCUUAAUUUUGGCAUUUAUAGAAUUAUCUUUUAUUUUAGAAUUCGAAAAAGACAGUCAAAGACAACAAAAAGUAUAUUUUGCCUGAAAUUCUAUGCUUUUUGACAAUUAUUAAUGCUAAAAAAGCACUAGUCACAGCCAACCGUCCUUUGAUUUUCUGCGAAUGCAAAGCGCAGUAUAACAUGAAACAAGAUUUUAAAAUCAAGGAACCCUGAAGCGGAUUACUGUGUGACUAGUGCUUAAACUAUUUUUUUUUCUAGACUUUCGAUUGCUUAUCUAUCAAUAAAAUAUAAUAAUUUUUAACCUAUGUUCAAGUAACCCUAAGAUUUCAAGUUAAUCCAUGACAUUAGAUUUAAGUUAUUUAUUGCCACUUUUAACUAAAUAAUUAAUAAGAUGCUUCGAGCCUUUCUUAACAAUAAUAAUAAUCCAUUUUUAACUCACUUUUUAAACUUAUUAUUUAAGAACUCAUUGAAAUCGUGGUUGUUAGAUUUGUAACGAAUUUUCCAUAGGUUUAGUUGAAGCUUAGCUUUUUUUUUGUGUAAGUUAAGUGUAACGUUAAUUAUAAAGAAUUCGUCAUUUUCGUUUAAACUAUACAAUUUUACAAACACUGCCAUCUAAAUACUUAAUUGAAUCUAUCUCAAUAUAUACGCAAUAUGUAAUUGAAAGAUAAAUAUAUAAUUCCAAUUUACAUAUUUACUUACUAGAAUUUAUAUGUAAAUAAAAUAUGAACGCAAGAGUAUAAAGUACACAACAGCAGGGUAUGCCUUAAUACUAUUUUCCUUUCAAAUGUAGUUUCUCAGUAAAGCCUAUACUAAGCCUACUUAAGGUUAUUAUUGGACGAAUUCAGCUGUGCUUACUUAGGCUCUUAGGCUUGAAUCUCAAGUUUCAGUUGAAGCGAGUCAAAUUUAUGCCAGCGAUAUAACGUCUCGUUUUAACAGUGUCUUAAGUUUGAGCAAAGUUAAAGUCGCUGUAUUGAUCUCAAGCUAGUGUUGCUAUCCUUUUCCGCAGAGAAAAUUGUGAAAACGAUAGCUAUAUGAUGCUUGACCACCGAAAUAAGACCUUUGUCAUAUUUAAUUCCUCAUUUCAGUAUCGAUUUAAUAUCGAAAUUAUCGAAUGGGUAAUCGAUAUGACGCGAUUCACUGUCAAUAGUAUGUUAGAUGGAAGUGUAAAAUGACGUAAGCGAGCUUGUCAUGUAAAUACACAAAGAAUAAUUUUAACUAUUUAUUUGUAUUUAAGAUUUUAACUUUUAACUCCACUGAUAGACAAAUCUUAUUUAAGCUCCGUCCACUACAGAGAGUCAAAUUGUAACUAUUAUAUAGCUAUAGCGCAUAUCUGAGGUGGCUCUUUCCGUACUGGUGUCCUACUGCGGUAGUGGUGUCCCACUGCGGCAGUGGCGCCCCACUGCGGUAGUGGUUUCCUACUGAGGUAGUGGCGCCCCACUGCGGUAGUGGCGUCCUACUGCGGUAGUUGACGAGCCGCUGAGCUCUCGCGUGACGUCAUCACCCCCUCCCAAACCGCUCCACUACCGCGGGAUCUACUCAGUUACACGUUAUGCCUGUAGCCAUCGUCAUGUUCAGAAUAUGUCAACGGCGCAAACCGAUACCAACUCAUCCUUUAUAUCGAAAACCUUGAAGUUAGCACCCAAGCUUGAAAAUGUGAUCAGAGUUUACAAGUAAAACAGAUGUCAUGCGUUACCCGACAGAAGCGAAGUUGUAUUCUUUCUCGCUCACUCAUGUUUGCAACCUUUCGCGCAGCCCAGCCAAUGGGGUGCGUUCGUUGGUUUCACUUUUUAACACUUAUUAUUAUUUUUUGUAUUUGUAUAGCGGCCAUUUUGAUAGUUUUAGUUAAAAUUUCAAAAUGGCCGCCAAUUCUGUAAAAAUUUCAACUUUCUACUUAUUACGGUUCAUGCGAUACAGCUUGCUGAUGGACAGACAGAAAGACGGACAGCGGGACUUAGUAACCGUUGGCAUCCUUCGGGUAUGUACGGAACCCUGAAAAAGACAUGUCUAUUCGAUUAUACCUCUGUAGUGUACGGAGAUGUAACUGUCUAUCUAGUAUUGUUAUACCAAAAUGUGUUAAGUAAAUAGUUCCUCGUCUGUUGGUUAGAUGCAGUGGAUGUGGGCGUAACUUAAAGUGAUUUUAUUAGAUUCGUGCACGUUAAGUUACAACUUGGUUUAAGUGAUUUUUGUAUUGGUACAUUUGUGGGGAGUCUUCGACUAGUCUCGACUUUAUGUUUAUUUUUAUUUAUUUUUUAAUUGGGCUAUGAUUUUUUUUAAGCAUACGUUGUUUUUCAGCCUUUAGUUUUUCGUAUAGUUAGUUUAGUUUUAUAGCAGUAUGAUUUUAAGUUAUUAAAAAAAAAUUGCGUGAAUCGAACCACCAAUCAAAAAGUUGUAGGAAACAUUUUUAACGAGUAUAUCAUAAAAAGUGUGAAAUGGACGCCGGAGGCUCUCAAAAACUAAAAAGUUAAGAAAUAUUAAUUUAUUGGUAGACUUAAGUAAUACGUUAAGCGAAAUGUAUGCCUUGAAUGGAAAGCUUUAUUUUUUAUGACUUUUUGAUUUUUGAUUAGUUUUAUGGUGUUGGCAACACCGAUGUUGGCAACACCGAAUCUCUUGCUACGCUUCAUGAUUAUUUUUGUAUUCUUUUCUGAGUAAAAUAAGGUAGCUUUGAAGCCGUUUAGAUUCUCCAUAAAAUUAAUAACGAAUUGAAAAAGUAUCGGCUGUAAAAUCGAUUUUAAACUCGCAGUCCGAAGUAUGGCUUUGGUAAAAUCGAUUCGUUGUCUUUAUGGCCUGCGCAGACGGGGGAAUAUUGUCCGCGGAAGACAAAAAUGCAUCACAAGAACAACAUUGCAUUACGCACAUGAUUGGACGUGUGGCUGUGACAUACGAACGGACAGACAGGUAGACAUGACUAAUCCCUAAGUGUUCCGUUUUUUGCCAUUUGGCUACGGAACCCUAAAAAUGAGGGACUUUAGUCCUUCGCGGACAAUAUGCCCUCGUCUGCGCGACCCCUUAGUAAAUACACAAAAUACUAACCAGUCUGAUAAAAAUAUUUCUUUUAGGGAAGUGCAAAUCCAAGCGGAUGUAUUGUAAAACCUAAUUUUGUAUGCGUGGUCGCCGCUAGUCAUUUUAACACUCUCAUUGAUAUAUAUUUAUUUAUAUUCAAUCGUAUAUUUACAACACUGACUAAAAUACUAACCUUUUUGUACAAUAUGCUAAAUACAGGCGAAACUUUUCCUUCGUCACAAAAAAUCGACCUACAAUCCAGUCCAUAGAACUUCACUAACGUCCAUUAAAUAUAGUCCUAAGUAUUAUCCUGUUCUAAAUUUAAAAAAUCUUGUUGAAGGUGAACAUCCCAAAUAUAGGAAAUGUUAAUGUUGAAAUCUAUAGAGCGCACAUUGACUUUGCUUAGACAUAAGUUUCAGUUAAAAGGAGACAGAUUUAUGCCUACGGUAUAUCGCUGUCUCGUUUUAACAGUGUCUUAAGUCUGAACAAACUCAAAGUGGGUUCUAGAGAUCUGACUAGAAGUCUUGCCUCUCAAUUAUUAUUUUAGUUGCUUUUUUACCUAC